rnacentral:rRNA from 1 species
UACGAAGGGGGCUAGCGUUGCUCGGAAUCACUGGGCGUAAAGGGUGCGUAGGCGGGUUUUUAAGUCGGGGGUGAAAUCCUGGAGCUCAACUCCAGAACUGCCUUCGAUACUGGCGAUCUUGAGUCCGGAAGAGGUGAGUGGAACUCCUAGUGUAGAGGUGGAAUUCGUAGAUAUUAGGAAGAACACCAGUGGCGAAGGCGGCUCACUGGUCCGGUACUGACGCUGAGGUGCGAAAGCGUGGGGAGCAAACAGG